CAUUAUUCUCGGCCCUUCCAAUUCUCCCUAUGAGGGAGGGCACUUUAAAUUAGAUAUAUUAUUUCCAGAUAACUACCCGUAUGUCCCGCCUCAUGUACAAUUUACGACUCAGAUUUACCACUGCAACAUCACCAGUGGCGGCCACAUAUGCCUGGACAUACUAUCGAACAACUGGUCGCCUAUCUUGACGGCAGAUAAAGUUCUCCUAUCGAUCAUGUCGCUGCUAGCAGAUCCCAAUCCUGACGACCCCAUGGAAAUCGUAGUUGCCAACAUGUACAAGAGGGACCGAGAGCAGCACGACCGAGUCGCCAGAGAGUGGACCACACUCUACGCCAUGCCAUAAGUUCUAUUUUGAUAAGCAUGCACAUAAUGCACAGUAACACCACCCAGAAAUUUAUACCCAUAUUCAUACAAAUAUCAGAAUUCUUAU
rnacentral:lncRNA from 1 species